rnacentral:lncRNA from 1 species
CUGGCAGAGGCUCCUGGCGCAGGUCCCCAGAACAGCAUCUGAUACAACAGGAGAGAGGCUCAUGUUUGGCCAGGCGGCUCAGCAGGCUCAAGUGAGCUGGCCCAGGGCAGUGCACACAGCCACCCAGCCCACCUUCCCCAUCCCCGGGCAGGAGUGGCUUCCUGGGGUUGGGCCUCUUGGCUGAUGUGGGGAGCCAUGGGCACUGCUCCUGAGGGCACCUGCUCAGGGCUUCUUCCUGGGUACUUCCAACACUCAGAACACUCCACAAGGGUAAAGAGUAAUUCCGAACUUUUUCAAUAACCAGGGGCCCAGACUGGGGACAACAGAAAUCCCUCUCCUUCCCCACCGGAGCUGCUAGAGUAGACAGUGGUAAUGCUGCUGACAGAGGGAGCACCCCUGUGGUUCCCAUCCUCAGCUGCUUCACUGGGGGGUCAGAAACCUCAUUAUUCUCAGAGCUGCUUUGCUUGGAAUCUCCAAGAGUUGGGGCGGCACCCCCCCCACACCCUCCAGAGGAUCUGCGACUAGAAAUAACAUGGCCAGCAUGGAAAACAUGUAUCAGGACCCAGCUAGAAGGGUCAGAGGCUCUGCUGGGACUGUCACAGUCAUUGUGGGCACAUCUAUUUGUGGAGGCCUGGAGGGAAGGGCAGGUGGGUUGUCUCUGCCAUUUCCUGGGCAUUCAGCACAUAUCAUCCUUUGUGCCUGACCAACCCAGGACCCAGAGAGAACAGGGUGCUGGGUGAGGCCACCAGCAGCAUGUCUCCCAUAUAGGAGUCCCAUGCUUGAGGUGGGUAAAUGGGGGGUGUAAAAACUGAACAGAGAAUGUGCUCUCCUUAAGGAAUGCAUACAAUUAGAGGCCCCUGUGAAUUCCCUUGGGCAGGCCAGGGCUAUAGGAGCCUACCCACAGCUCAGACCCAAAUAGCAGUGAUGAGUGUCCACCCCUCUUAACCUGGGCCUCAAAUGGCCUAUGCCUGGCUCCAUGCCUUUUGCCUUACUGCUGGAGCCUAUCAAUUUCCUAUUGAAACACCUUCAGUUGCCCCCCCUGCCCUCUGGAUCUAGCCCACAUUCCUUAACCUGGUACCCAGACUCUGGGCCCAGCCUCACCCCCUCUCCCAGUCCCAUGGACCUGCUUCCCAGCUGUACCAUUUAAUCACUAAAUGACGUUCAUCUUCUACCUGCCCUGUGGUUCAGAAGGCCAUUCCAGGUAUCACCCCCUCACCUUGCUGAAGGGGGCAGGGGCCUCCUCUCUGCUCUCAGCACCAUUGACCUGUCUAUAGCUAAAAGUACCUUUUCCCUUCACUAGCCUGUGAGCCCCCAGGUCAGGGAAAACUUUUUUUAAGGCAACAGACUCUUUAUUUAAUGUGGUUUAAAAUACAUCAA